rnacentral:rRNA from 1 species
UACAGAGGGUGCAAGCGUUAAUCGGAGUUACUGGGCAUAAAGGGCGCGUAGGCGGAUGUUUAAGUCGGAUGUGAAAUCCCUGGGCUUAACCUGGGAAUUGCAUUCGAUACUGGAUGUCUAGAGUAUGGUAGAGGAAAGUGGAAUUCCCGGUGUAGUGGUAAAAUACGUAGAUAUCGGGAGGAACACCAGUGGCGAAGGCGGCUUUCUGGUCCAAUACUGACGCUGAGGCGCGAGAGCGUGGGGAGCAAAC